CGGGGUGUGGCGCAGCCUGGCUAGCGCAUCUGCUUUGGGAGCAGAGGGUCGCAGGUUCGAAUCCUGUCACCCCGA
rnacentral:tRNA from 2 species